AGGCAGUCUUUUCUGAUUAGGGUUUCGGUUGGGAUGUGUUUUAUAGGGUAGGUAUUUAAAGCGUCUGUGUGAUCUUAAACCGAGUAUAUAUUUCUGUAAGGAAAUAUACACACAUUUAACAUGUGGACUUUGUGACAAAGCAGCUAUACAGACAGCAGGAUGUAGAUUUAGAUCCCCGAUGAGCAAGCCGGAGGUGACAUUGGUGAGGAAAAUUCCCGAGACAAAAUGAGGACAAACCCUUGAGAGGAACCGGCCUCGAAAGGAAACCUGUCCUCCUCUGGGUGACGCUGGAUAAUGGGUUUAGUCUAUAGUGUCCAGGGUUACGGUGGAUCCGGUGCCUAUCAAGGGAACACUGGACAUGAGACAGGACACCAGUCCACGACCGGACAUCACACACGCAUUCACACCUGGAGCACAUUAGAGUAGGCAAUUCACCUACCAGUAUGUUUUUGGGAGGUGGGAUGAAACUGGAGAUCCCAGAGGAAACCCAGACAGACACAAGAAGAACGUGUGAAACUCUACACAAAGUUCAGGACUAGGACUUACUCUUAUGCCUUGGAUCAUUGUCUUGCUGCAUAAUCCAGUUUACAGACUGAAGACCAGACAUUCUUCUUUAGGAUUUUCUGCUAGAGAGCAGAAUUCAUGUUUCCAUCAAUGAUUGCAAGUUGCCCAGGCCCUGAAGCAGCAAAGCAUCCCCACACCAUCACACUCCACCACCAUGCUUGACCUGAUGUUCUUUUUGAGGAGUUUGGUGUUUAUGGCAGAUGUAACGGGACCCCAGUCUUCCAAACGGUUCCACUUUCAGCUCAUCAGUACACAGAACGUUCUCCCAGAAGGUUUGAGGAUCAUCAAGGUGUGUUUCGGCAAAAUUCAGACGAGUCUUAAUGUUCUUCUGGGUCAGCAGUGGUUUUCACCUCACCACUCUUCCAUGGAGCCGUUUUCCCCCAGUGUCUUUCUGAUAGUGGAGUCAUGAACACUGACCUUUAUCGAUGCAAGAGAGGCCUGUAGGUCCUGUGAUGUUGUCCUUGGCUCUGUUGUGACGUCCUGGAUGAGUCGUCGCUGUGCUCUUGGAGGAAUUUUGGAAGGUCGGCCACUUCUGGGAAGCUCACUACUGUGCAGAGUUUUUCCAUUUGGAGAUAACGGCUUCUGUGGUUCUUUGGAGUCUCGGAGACUUUGAAAUAGCUUUGUAACCCUUCCCAGACUGAUGUACUUCAAUCACCUUCUUCCUCAUCAUUUCUGGAAUUUCUUUCAACUUUGGCGUAGUGUCUUACUGGGUAAGACCUUUUAACCAACUUCACACUGUUGAAAAAAGUAUUGUGUUGUGAUUGGACAGGGUUUGCAGUAAUCAGGUCUGGUUGUGUCUAGUAUUGUGUGUUUCCUCAGGUUGCCUUUGUU
ensembl:lncRNA